rnacentral:rRNA from 1 species
GACGAACGCUGGCGGCGCGCUUAACACAUGCAAGUCGAGCGAGAACCAGGCUUCGGCCCUGGGGACAGCGGCGAACGGGUGAGUAACACGUGGGUAAUCCACCCUCGGCACCGGAAUGGCCCGGGGAAACCCGGAUUAAUGCCGGAUGGCCCGCCGGCCCCGCGGGGCUGGCGGAAAAGGUAGCUUCGGCCUCCGGCCGAGGACGAGCCCGCGACGGAUUAGCUUGUUGGUGGGGUAACGGCCUACCAAGGCUGCGAUCCGUAGCUGGUCUGAGAGGACGAUCAGCCACACUGGGACUGAGACACGGCCCAGACUCCUACGGGAGGCAGCAGUGGGGAAUCUUGCGCAAUGGGCGAAAGCCUGACGCAGCGACGCCGCGUGAGGGAAGAAGGCCUUCGGGUUGUAAACCUCUUUCAGAAGGGACGAAGCCACUCGGGUUAAUAGCCCAGAGGGUGACGGUACCUUCAGAAGAAGCCCCGGCUAACUACGUGCCAGCAGCCGCGGUAA